rnacentral:rRNA from 1 species
CACGCCGGAAGACCAAGGUUUCCUGUCCCAUGCUAAUCAGGGCAGGGUAAGUCGGCCCCUAAGGCGAGGCAGAAAUGCGUAGUCGAUGGGAAACGGAUUAAUAUUUCCGUACUUGGUAUAUCAGUGAUGGGGGGACGGAGAAGGUUAUGCAAGCAUAGCGUUGGUUGUCUAUGUGAAAGUGUGUAGGGUUGAAGUUUAGGUAAAUCCGGACUUCUACAUGCCUGAGACACGAGACGAGAUUCUACGGAAUUGAAGUUGCAAAUACCCUGCUUCCAGGAAAAGCCUCUAAACUUAUGAUAUAUCGAACCGUACCCCAAACCGACACAGGUGGUCAGGUAGAGAAUACUAAGGCGCUUGAGAGAACUCGGGUGAAGGAACUCGGCAAAAUCGUACCGUAACUUCGGGAGAAGGUACGCCGCUGUUUGUGAUGAGACUUGCUCUCUAAGCGAAUGGCGGCCGCAGUGAAAAGGUGGCUGGGACUGUUUAUUAAAAACACAGCACUGUGCUAAAUCGAAAGAUGACGUAUACGGUGUGACACCUGCCCGGUGCCGGAAGGUUAAUUGAUGGGGUUAGCGCAAGCGAAGCUCUUGAUCGAAGCCCCGGUAAACGGCGGCCGUAACUAUAACGGUCCUAAGGUAGCGAAAUUCCUUGUCGGGUAAGUUCCGACCUGCACGAAUGGUGUAACCAUGGCCACGCUGUCUCCACCCGAGACUCAGUGAAAUUGAAAUCGCAGUGAAGAUGCUGUGUACCCGCACCUAGACGGAAAGACCCCGUGAACCUUUACUAUAGCUUGGCACUGAACAUUGACCCUACAUGUGUAGGAUAGGUGGGAGACUUUGAAGCGUGAACGCCAGUUUGCGUGGAGUCAACCUUGAAAUACCACCCUUGUACGUUUGAUGUUCUAACGUUGUUCCCUAAUCGGGAAUGCGGACAGUGCCUGGUGGGUAGUUUGACUGGGGCGGUCUCCUCCCAAAGAGUAACGGAGGAGCACGAAGGUUGGCUAAGUACGGUCGGACAUCGUACGGUUAGUGCAAUGGCAUAAGCCAGCUUAACUGCGAGACAGACACGUCGAGCAGGUACGAAAGUAGGUCAUAGUGAUCCGGUGGUUCUGUAUGGAAGGGCCAUCGCUCAACGGAUAAAAGGUACUCCGGGGAUAACAGGCUGAUACCGCCCAAGAGUUCAUAUCGACGGCGGUGUUUGGCACCUCGAUGUCGGCUCAUC